GGGGGUGAAUUAAAUAAAUGUUCUGAGAAAGCAUUUAGAAUGUAUUGAAGACAGGAAGAGAUGUGGUAAUGUUGUUUUCUAUGGGACCAGACAGGAAGAGAGGUGGUAAUGUUGUUUUCUAUGGGACCAGAAAGCAAGAGAGGUGGUAAUGUUGUUUUCUAUGGGACCAGAAAGCAAGAGAGGUGGUAAUGUUGUUUUCUAUGGGACCAGAAAGCAAGAGAGAUGGUAAUGUUGUUUUCUUUGGGACAGAACCUCAUCCCUGUGAUGAAAUGCCUGCUUCUCAAAUGGUGCCCUAGUCCUCUACUAUUGACCAGGGUAGUGCACUAUAAAAGGACUAGGGUACCGUUUGGGAAGCACGGUAUACUUUAACAUUUUGUAUUUGUUGAAGGAAUGAUCUGAUCUGGGACUUUGUAUUGCUAAAUAUUUCCUAUUCCUAUCUCUGUAGAAUCAAAUGAACAUGUCAUUACUAAUAUAUAUUAAAGAUCCAUUUGUA